rnacentral:rRNA from 1 species
UGGUUCCGCGCCGACAAUGUAGCGGGGCUCAAGCACACCACCGAAGACGCGGCAGUAUUUUGUACUGGGUAGGAGAGCGUCCCAUGAGGGGCGAAGCGGCCGUGUGAACGCGCCGUGGACUUCAUGGGAGUGAGAAUGCAGACAUGAGUAGCGAGAGACGGGUGAAGAUCCCGUCCGCUGGAUGACCAAGGGUUCCAGGGCCACGUUCAUCGUCCCUGGGUGAGUCGGGUCCUAAGGCGAGGCCGACAGGCGUAGUCGAAUGGAUGAACGGGUCGAUAUUCCCGUACCGGCUUUCAGCCGCCAAAACCGAGGCUUGGAGUACUAACCUCCGGGUCCGGGCUUACUGCUCCUUCGGGGGCGGGAUGCCCUGGCCUGUUGGGACCGAUCCUUGUAGUAGGUCAGCGCAGGAGUGACGCAGAAGGGUAGCCGGCCGCGGAGGUGGUCUUCCGUGGUCAAGCACGCAGGGCGUGGGACAGGCAAAUCCGUCCCGCAUGGGUCCGAGGUGCGAUGAUGGGGGCCUUAUGGCCCGAUAUCCGGUGAUCCCGGCUGCCGAGAAAAGCUUCGGCGUCAGGCUCGAAGCCGCCCGUACCCCAAACCGACACUGGUGGUCAGGUAGAGAAUACCAAAGCGAUCGAGCGAAUCCUGGUCAAGGAACUCGGCAAAUCACUCCCGUUCCUUCGGUUUAAGGGAGACCCCCGAUGGUGAACACACUUGCUGUGGGAGCUUUUGGGGGUGGCACAGACCAGGGGGUAGCGACUGUUUACCAAAAACACAGGUGCAUGCGAAGGCGAAAGCCGCUGUAUAUGCACUGACGCCUGCCCGGUGCCGGAAGGUUAAGAGGAUCCGUCAGUCCUUCGGGAUGAAGCGGUGAAUUCAAGCCCCGGUAAACGGCGGUGGUAACUAUAACCAUCCUAAGGUAGCGAAAUUCCUUGUCGGGUAAGUUCCGACCUGCACGAAUGGCGUAACGACUUCCCCACUGUCUCGACCAGGAGCUCGGCGAAAUUGCAGUACGAGUAAAGAUGCUCGUUAAGCGCAGAAGGACGAAAAGACCCCGGGACCUUUACUAUACCUUGGUAUUGGCAUUCGGUGUGGAUUGUGUAGCAUAGGCGGGAGGCCGAGAGGCGCGGUCGCCAGAUCGCGCGGAGCCGUAAGGUGAAAUACCGCUCUGUUCGCAUUGGAUGUCUAACCUCGAACAGUCAUCCUGUUCAGGGACAGUGCCUGGCGGGUAGUUUAACUGGGGCGGUUGCCUCCCAAAGAGUAACGGAGGCGCCCAAAGGUCCGCUCAGCCCGGUUGGCAAUCGGGUGGCGAGUGCAAGUGCACAAGCGGGCUUGACUGCGAGGACGACGGUCCGAGCAGGGACGAAAGUCGGGACUAGUGAUCCGGUGCCGGUGUACGGACGCGGCAUCGCUCAACGGAUAAAAGGUACCCCGGGGAUAACAGGCUGAUCAUUCCCAAGAGUCCAUAUCGACGGGAUGGUUUGGCACCUCGAUGUCGGCUCGUCGCAUCCUGGGGCUGGAGCAGGUCCCAAGGGUUCGGCUGUUCGCCGAUUAAAGCGGCACGCGAGCUGGGUUCAGAACGUCGUGAGACAGUUUGGUCUCUAUCCUCUGCGCUCGUUGGAAUCCUGAGGAGGCCUGCCCAUAGUACGAGAGGACCUGGGUGGACGAACCUCUGGUAUGCCGGUUGUCACGCCAGUGGCACGGCCGGUUGGCUACGUUCGGAAGGGAUAACCGCUGAAAGCAUCUAAGCGGGAAGCCUGCUCCAAGAUAAGCAUUCCGUGGAACCUUCGAGUUCCUGUAGUCCCCAUGCAGAACACGUGGUCGAUAGGCCGGACGUGGAAGCCCCGCGAGGGGUGGAGCCGACCGGUACUAACGGACGAAAGGCAACACCAA